rnacentral:rRNA from 1 species
UGCAAGUCGAGCGGGGAAAGGUAGCUUGCUACCUGACCUAGCGGCGGACGGGUGAGUAAUGCUUAGGAAUCUGCCUAUUAGUGGGGGACAACAUUCCGAAAGGAAUGCUAAUACCGCAUACGCCCUACGGGGGAAAGCAGGGGAUCUUCGGACCUUGCGCUAAUAGAUGAGCCUAAGUCAGAUUAGCUAGUUGGUGGGGUAAAGGCCUACCAAGGCGACGAUCUGUAGCGGGUCUGAGAGGAUGAUCCGCCACACUGGGACUGAGACACGGCCCAGACUCCUACGGGAGGCAGCAGUGGGGAAUAUUGGACAAUGGGCGAAAGCCUGAUCCAGCCAUGCCGCGUGUGUGAAGAAGGCCUUUUGGUUGUAAAGCACUUUAAGCGAGGAGGAGGCUACCGAGAUUAAUACUCUUGGAUAGUGGACGUUACUCGCAGAAUAAGCACCGGCUAACUCUGUGCCAGCAGCCGCGGUAAUACAGAGGGUGCGAGCGUUAAUCGGAUUUACUGGGCGUAAAGCGUGCGUAGGCGGCUUUUUAAGUCGGAUGUGAAAUCCCUGAGCUUAACUUAGGAAUUGCAUUCGAUACUGGGAAGCUAGAGUAUGGGAGAGGAUGGUAGAAUUCCAGGUGUAGCGGUGAAAUGCGUAGAGAUCUGGAGGAAUACCGAUGGCGAAGGCAGCCAUCUGGCCUAAUACUGACGCUGAGGUACGAAAGCAUGGGGAGCAAACAGGAUUAGAUACCCUGGUAGUCCAUGCCGUAAACGAUGUCUACUAGCCGUUGGGGCCUUUGAGGCUUUAGUGGCGCA